ACGAACGCUGGCGGCGUGCUUAACACAUGCAAGUCGAACGGUGAAGCGCCUUCCUUUUUGGUGGGUGUGGAUGAGUGGCGAACGGGUGAGUAACACGUGAGUAACCUGCCCCCUUCUUCUGGAUAACCGCAUGAAAGUGUGGCUAAUACGGGAUAUUCUGGGUCUGUCGCAUGAUGGGUCUGGGAAAGAUAUUGUUUCGGUGGGGGAUGGGCUCGCGGCCUAUCAGCUUGUUGGUGGGGUGAUGACCUACCAAGGCGGUGACGGGUAGCCGGCCUGAGAGGGUGGACGGUCACACUGGGACUGAGACACGGCCCAGACUCCUACGGGAGGCAGCAGUGGGGAAUAUUGCACAAUGGGCGCAAGCCUGAUGCAGCGACGCCGCGUGAGGGAUGGAGGCCUUCGGGUUGUGAACCUCUUUCGCCAGUGAAGCAGGCCUGCCUCGUUUGUGGGUGGGUUGACGGUAGCUGGAUAAGAAGCGCCGGCUAACUACGUG
rnacentral:rRNA from 1 species